rnacentral:lncRNA from 1 species
GAAGGAAUGAGUGGGCACACCUGCUGCACUGAGGUGCUUUUUGUCCAGGAGAUUAGCUCCGUUUGACAAGGCAGUGAACUUUGGGAGGGGUGAGUGGGGGUCUCCUCCGGGAGCCUCUGGAGUGCAGCCCUGAAGAACGAAUGCUGCCGGAGAGAGACCCCGAGAGACAGCCACGAAGACAGACGCACGGAGUCAGCAGCAGGCAGACAGACAGACACAGAGCAGGAGGCAUCGAGGUAGAGUUAGAUUCUUAGAUACAGGGACACACACACACACACACACACACACACACAUGCACAUUCUUCAGGAUGUUGGAAUAAGCAGGGAGAGACAGGGAGAGACACACACGGAGAGACAGACAGACACACAGACAUCCACAAAGAACAAAGGGACAGAGAAACACACAUACAUGGACUCUUGCCACCAAAUAGUCUGACCCAGAGAGAAAGAGGCAAAGGCAGAGAGAGAGUUGAGGGGAUAGAAGACAUAAAGAAGGAGACACCAAAGAGACAAAUAGGAUGAGAAGAAAGGAAAUGCAAGAAGAAGGAAGUGAGAAAGUGAAAUUGUCAAGAGGCAGGGGAAAAAAAGGAGACCCAGAAGGAAAGUUGUAAGAAGGCUGCUGAGCCCUUGACCUUCCUGAGUCUGCCCCUACUGACCCUGGCCUUGGACCCUGAGGAGUUAGGCCACCCUAGAGUGGGCAUUUGCAUAGCUUUGGAGGACUAGGGGUGGAUAUGGAGCUUGGGGUGAGAGAAGGAAAGAGACUGGGAGUCUCCCAGUCUCCAGACUGAGAGACUGACACGGAGAUAAAGGUAGUGUGUUAAGACAAGAGGUGAGUAGAAAAUGCCCACAGGAAAUGUGGAUUUCCUUGAUAAGAUAGCCCCAGCCUCUGAAGGGACUGUC